rnacentral:rRNA from 1 species
AGCUUAGGAAUCUGCCUAUUAGUGGGGGACAACAUUUCGAAAGGGAUGCUAAUACCGCAUACGUCCUACGGGAGAAAGCAGGGGACCUUCGGGCCUUGCGCUAAUAGAUGAGCCUAAGUCGGAUUAGCUAGUUGGUGGGUAAAGGCCUACCAAGGCGACGAUCCGUAGCGGGUCUGAGAGGACGGCCCGCCACACUGGGACUGAGACACGGCCCAGACUCCUACGGGAGGCAGCAGUGGGGAAUUUUGGACAAUGGGGGCAACCCUGAUCCAGCCAUGCCGCGUGAGUGAAGAAGGCCUUCGGGUUGUAAAGCUCUUUCGGCCGGGAAGAAAUCGCGCCAGCUAAUAUCUGGUGUGGAUGACGGUACCGGAAGAAGAAGCACCGGCUAACUACGUG